UACAGGGGGUGCAAACGUUGCUCGGAAUCAUUGGGCGUAAAGCGCACGUAGGCGGUCUGUUAUGUCGGAUGUGAAAGCCCUCGGCUCAACUGAGGAAGUGCAUCCGAAACUGGCAGGCUAGAGUACUAAAGAGGGUCGCGGAAUUCCCGGUGUAGAGGUGAAAUUCGUAGAUAUCGGGAGGAACACCGGUGGCGAAGGCGGCGACCUGGGUAGAUACUGACGCUGAGGUGCGAAAGCGUGGGAGCAACAGA
rnacentral:rRNA from 1 species